rnacentral:rRNA from 2 species
AUUGCCCUAGUAACGGCGAGUGAAGCGGCAACAGCUCAAAUUUGAAAUCUGGCUUUCGGGCCCGAGUUGUAAUUUGUAGAGGAUGAUUUUGGCGCGGUGCCUUCCGAGUUCCCUGGAACGGGACGCCUUAGAGGGUGAGAGCCCCGUACGGUUGGACACCAAGCCUCUGUAAAUCUCCUUCGACGAGUCGAGUAGUUUGGGAAUGCUGCUCUAAAUGGGAGGUAAAUUCCUUCUAAAGCUAAAUACCGGCCAGAGACCGAUAGCGCACAAGUAGAGUGAUCGAAAGAUGAAAAGCACUUUGAAAAGAGGGUUAAAUAGCACGUGAAAUUGUUGAAAGGGAAGCAUUUACUACCAGACCUUCUCCUGGCGGAUCAUGCGGUGUUCUCACCGCUGCACUUCGCCUGGUUUAGGCCAGCAUCGGUUUUCGUAGGGGGAUAAAAGCUUUAGGAACGUAGCUCCCUCGGGAGUGUUAUAGCCUUUUGCAUAAUACCCUUACGGGGACCGAGGACCGCGCUUUUGCAAGGAUGCUGGCAUAAUGGUAGUCAAUGACCCGUCUUGAAACACGGACCAAGGAGUCGAACAUUUGUGCGAGUGUUUGGGUGUUAAACCCUCACGCGUAAUGAAAGUGAACGUAGGUGAGAGCCCUUACGGGUGCAUCAUCGACCGAUCUUGAUGUCUUCGGAUGGAUUUGAGUAAGAGCAUAACUGUUCGGACCCGAAAGAUGGUGAACUAUGCGUGGAUAGGGUGAAGCCAGAGGAAACUCUGGUGGAGGCUCGCAGCGGUUCUGACGUGCAAAUCGAUCGUCAAAUCUGCGCAUGGGGGCGAAAGACUUAUCGAACCAUUAAACCAGCGGUAAAUUUACUUACUAGGUGGUUAAGAGGCCCCCCGUCAGGGAGAGGCCUAGACGCCCUACCCUGGAGGUGCUACCCUGCACUUCCGGGUGGGCUGUCGACAUCGCUAAAUUGCGGGAA